GACGAACGCUGGCGGCGCGCCUAAUGCAUGCAAGUCGAGCGACGCAUGCCCCGUGGGUAACCACUAGGUAUGACGGAGCGGCGAACGGGUGAGUAACACGUGAGUAACCUGCCCCGAAGACUGGGAUAGCCCGGGGAAACCCGGAUUAAUACCGGAUACCCUCUCUGGAUCGCAUGGUCCGGUGAGGAAAGGCCUUUGUGCUUCGGGAUGGACUCGCGGCCUAUCAGCUUGUUGGUGAGGUAACGGCUCACCAAGGCAACGACGGGUAGCUGGUCUGAGAGGACGAUCAGCCACACUGGGACUGAGACACGGCCCAGACUCCUACGGGAGGCAGCAGCAGGGAAUCUUGUCCAAUGGGCGCAAGCCUGAGACAGCGACGCCGCGUGAGGGAUGAAGGCCUUCGGGUUGUAAACCUCUUUCAGGAGGGACGAAAUUGACGGUACCUCCAGAAGAAGCCCCGGCCAACUACGUG
rnacentral:rRNA from 1 species